rnacentral:tRNA from 1 species
GCCCGCGUAGCUCAGUUGGCGGAGCAUUGGGCUAGUAUUCCAAUUAAGGUCGUAGGUUCGCUUCCCACCGUGGCCA